rnacentral:rRNA from 1 species
CACGUAGGGGCCAAGCGUUGUCCGGAUUUAUUGGGCGUAAAGAGCUCGUAGGCGGUUUGUCACGUCUGCUGUGAAAUCCCGAGGCUCAACCUCGGGCCUGCAGUGGGUACGGGCAGACUGGAGUGCGGUAGGGGAGAAUGGAAUUCCUGGUGUAGCGGUGGAAUGCGCAGAUAUCAGGAGGAACACCGAUGGCGAAGGCAGUUCUCUGGGCCGUAACUGACGCUGAGGAGCGAAAGCGUGGGGAGCGAACAGG